GGCAACCACGGGACUCCGUGUGUUCGCUGGCUGAGUAUAGAUCACAAUAGGUGACUGUGAAAAGAAGUGAUUAGAGCUAGAAGGGGGAUGCUAUGGUGCGGAACAAGACUGUAGGCGAACAUUAAAAUGUCAGAGUAAUUCAGGCUGUAAUAUACAACAGUGUCGGCAUCUAAUGUGCGGUCGUGAUAUACGUUCAUGGUAAUGGAUAUGAUCUCGUGCCAUGACCACACACGAGACUACUGGACAGUUCCGUGUACUGGAGGUUACCACGGCAACGCCCGAGAUCAACAGCACAGUAUCGCGAUCACUAUGACGCGCACCUCACACACGCGUCACAGUAGGCAGCCGGAAAUCACUCACGUCGUCUGCACACCGCUGUCUUUCCCGCCGACGGGUCUUCCCAACACAUAAAGUCACCUAUUGUGAUCUAUACUCAGCCAGCGAACACACGGAGUCCCGUGGUUGCCAUGACCACACACGAGACUACUGGACAGUUCCGUGUACUGGAGGUUACCACGGCAACGCCCGAGAUCAACAGCACAGUAUCGCGAUCACUAUGACGCGCACCUCACACACGCGUCACAGUAGGCAGCCGGAAAUCACUCACGUCGUCUGCACACCGCUGUCUUUCCCGCCGACGGGUCUUCCCAACACAUAAAGGCUGCGAUUCAUCAUUGACAUGGAACCACAGGGCACUGGAAACCACGCACAAACAGUCAAAUGGCAUAUGACUUGCUAGGCAAAUAAAUAAAAAAUAAAUAAAAAAGAACUGCUUGUGAACUUUAAAAAAAAAGUCUCCUCCCCACACCAUCAAAUGACUACAUA